CUUACCCUACCGAAGUAUCCGCCAGAGAACUACGAGCACAAACGCUUAAAACUCUAAGGACUUGGCGGUGCCCUAAACCCACCUAGAGGAGCCUGUUCUGUAAUCGAUGAUCCACGAUCAACCCAACCGCCCCUUGCCAAGCACAGCCUACAUACCGCCGUCGCCAGCCCACCUCGAAUGAGAGCGCAACAGUGGGCGCAACAGCACCCCGCUAAUAAGACAGGUCAAGGUAUAGCCUAUGGGACGGAAGAAAUGGGCUACAUUCCCUAUGCAUAGGGCAACACGGAAAGAAGUAUGAAACUGCUUCUAGAAGGAGGAUUUAGCAGUAAAGCGGGACAAUAAAGCUCGCUUUAAGCCGGCCCUAGGGCA
rnacentral:rRNA from 1 species